rnacentral:rRNA from 1 species
GACGGAGGGGGCAAGCGUUGUCCGGAAUCACUGGGCGUAAAGCGCGUGUAGGCGGUCGUGUGCAUCGGUGCUGAAAGCGCCCGGCUUAACCGGGCGAGGCGUGCCGAUACGAUGCGACUGGAGGCAGGCAGAGGGCGGCGGAAUUCCGGGUGUAGCGGUGAAAUGCGUAGAGCUCCGGAGGAACGCCGGUGGGGUAGCCGGCCGCCUGGGUCUGACCUGACGCUGAGACGCGACAGCGUGGGGAGCAAACCGG